UGCCAGCAGCCGCGGUAAUACGUAAGUCCCAAGCGUUACCCGGAAUUAUUGGGUGUAAAGGGUUCGUAGGCGGAUUAAUAAGUUAGAGGUGAAAUCCCAGGGCUCAACCCUGGAACUGCCUUUAAAACUGUUAGUCUUGAGAUCGAGAGAGGUGAGUGGAAUUCCAAGUGUAGAGGUGAAAUUCGUAGAUAUUUGGAGGAACACCAGUGGCGAAGGCGGCUCACUGGCUCGAUACUGACGCUGAGGUACGAAAGUGUGGGGAGCAAACAGGAUUAGAUA
rnacentral:rRNA from 1 species